rnacentral:lncRNA from 1 species
UGGGAUGUAGAUGGAGUCUCCAGCACUGUAGUAUGGGGUGCCUCAUCCAGUGUGUUGUGAAGCUGGGAGUCACCAUUAGGUAACCCUCUCCUGUAGUCUCCAGGGAAUGUGAUGUGAGUCAGUUAUACUGGAACUCUCUCUCUCUACCCCUCCUUUCUUUCUUUCUUUUCUUUCUUUCUUUCUUUUCUUUCUUUCUUUCUUUCUUUCUUUCUUCUUUCUUUCUUUCUUUCUUUCUUUCUUUCUUUCUUUCUUUCUUUCUUUCUUUCUUUCUUUCUUUCUUUCUUUCUUUCUUUCUUUCUUUCUUUCUUUCUUUCUUUCUUUCUUUCUUCUUUCUUUCUUUCUUUCUUUCUUUCUUUCUUUCUUUCUUUCUUUCUUUCUUUCUUUCUUUCUUUCUUCUUUCUUUCUUUCUUUCUUUCUUUCUUUCUUUCUUUCUUUCUUUCUUCUUUCUUUCUUUCUUCUUUCUUUCUUUCUUUCUUUCUUUCUUCUUUCUUUCUUUCUUUCUUUUCUUUCUUUCUUUCUUUCUUUCUUUCUUUCUUUCUUUCUUUCUUUCUUUCUUUCUUUCUUUCUUUCUUUCUUUCUUUCUUUCUUUCUUUCUUCUUUCUUUCUUUCUUUCUUUCUUUCUUUCUUUCUUUCGCUCUCGCUGCAUAAAGAGAUGACUAUGUCCUUCAUCUGCAUCUCGGUCAGAUGGUGUUUGUUUGUAAGAGUUUUGUUGCUGUCACUUCACUGGCAGUACACUUACUGCCACACACACACACACACACACACACACACACACACACACACACACACGCAGCAGAACGACUGUGGUUGGAGAGCAGAGCUGAGUGAAAUUGGCUAAUUGCAAAGGGAUUACAGGCAGCAACAGUGCAGUUAACAUGACUGGCAUACAGAAUAGGGUUAUUAUGACGUGCUAUCUCAAGACACAGCUGAUUGGUUUACUGGUGCAUGUGUGGAGUGCGGCUUGGUAUGUUGUUGGAUUCAUAUCACAGCACUGAAAUGGAAUGUAAAGAUGGACCUUAAAAUCUUAUGCUGGCCUCAAGGAUGAGUGAAAAUAUUUCAGCCAUAUUUGAA